UACGUAGGGUGCGAGCGUUAAUCGGAAUUACUGGGCGUAAAGCGUGCGCAGGCGGCUUGCCAAGUCAGAUGUGAAAGCCCCGGGCUCAACCCGGGAACGGCGUUUGAAACUGGCAGGCUAGAGUUUGGCAGAGGGGGGUGGAAUUCCACGUGUAGCAGUGAAAUGCGUAGAGAUCCGGAGGAACACCGACGGCGAAGGCAGCGCCCUGGCCGCCAUCUGACGCUCAGGCACGAAAGCUGGGGGAGCGAACAGG
rnacentral:rRNA from 1 species